CGACUGCUAAUACCCCAUACUCCUUCUAAUCUCAAGAUUAGUUGGGAAAGAUUUAUUGCUAAAGGAUGGGGCUUUAUGGUAUCAGCUAGUUGGUGGGGUAACGGCCUACCAAGGCGAUGACGCCUACCUGGUCUGAGAGGAUGAUCAGGCACACUGGAACUGAGACACGGUCCAGACUCCUACGGGAGGCAGCAGUGGGGAAUAUUGCACAAUGGAGGAAACUCUGAUGCAGCAACGCCGCGUGGAGGAUGACGCAUUUCGGUGUGUAAACUCCUUUUAUAAGGGAAGAUAAUGACGGUACCUUAUGAAUAAGCACCGGCUAACUCCGUGCCAGCAGCCGCGGUAAUACGGAGGGUGCAAGCGUUACUCGGAAUCACNGGGCGUAAAGGAUGCGUAGGCUGGAAAUCAAGUCGAGAGUGAAAUCCAACGGCUCAACCGUUGAACUGCUCUCGAAACUGGUUACCUANAAUAUGGGAGAGGUAGAUGGANUNGGUGGUGUNGGGGUAAAAUCCGUAGAUAUCACCAGGAAUACCGAUUGCAAAGGCGAUCUNCUGGGAACAUUAUUGACGCUGAAGGCAUGAAAGCGUGGGGGAGCAAACAGGAUUAGAU
rnacentral:rRNA from 1 species